rnacentral:rRNA from 1 species
UACGUAGGUGGCAAGCGUUAUCCGGAAUUAUCGGGCGUAAAGCGCGCGUGGGCGGUUUUUUAAGUCUGAUGUGAAAGCCCACGGCUCAACCGUGGAGGGUCAUUGGAAACUGGAAAACUUGAGUGCAGAAGAGGAAAGUGGAAUUCCAUGUGUAGCGGUGAAAUGCGCAGAGAUAUGGAGGAACACCAGUGGCGAAGACGACUUUCUGGUCUGUAACUGACGCUGAUGUGCGAAAGCGUGG